AAUACAUGCAAGUCGAACGAAACUUUCUUACACCGAAUGCUUGCAUUCACCGUAAGAAGUUGAGUGGCGGACGGGUGAGUAACACGUGGGUAACCUGCCUAAAAGAAGGGGAUAACACUUGGAAACAGGUGCUAAUACCGUAUAUCUCUAAGGAUCGCAUGAGUCUUAGAUGAAAGAUGGUUCUGCUAUCGCUUUUAGAUGGACCCGCGGCGUAUUAACUAGUUGGUGGGGUAACGGCCUACCAAGGUGAUGAUACGUAGCCGAACUGAGAGGUUGAUCGGCCACAUUGGGACUGAGACACGGCCCAAACUCCUACGGGAGGCAGCAGUAGGGAAUCUUCCACAAUGGACGCAAGUC
rnacentral:rRNA from 1 species